AGCUUGCUCCACCGGAAAAAGAGGAGUGGCGAACGGCUGAGUAACACGUGGGUAACCUGCCCAUCAGAAGGGGAUAACACUUGGAAACAGGUGCUAAUACCGUAUAACAAUCAAAACCGCAUGGUUUUGAUUUGAAAGGCGCUUUCGGGUGUCGCUGAUGGAUGGACCCGCGGUGCAUUAGCUAGUUGGUGAGGUAACGGCUCACCAAGGCCACGAUGCAUAGCCGACCUGAGAGGGUGAUCGGCCACAUUGGGACUGAGACACGGCCCAAACUCCUACGGGAGGCAGCAGUAGGGAAUCUUCGGCAAUGGACGAAAGUCUGACCGAGCAACGCCGCGUGAGUGAAGAAGGUUUUCGGAUCGUAAAACUCUGUUGUUAGAGAAGAACAAGGAUGAGAGUAACUGUUCAUCCCUUGACGGUAUCUAACCAGAAAGCCACGGCUAAGUACGUGCCAGCAGCCA
rnacentral:rRNA from 1 species